rnacentral:lncRNA from 1 species
GCGGCUUUCUUUCUUAUAUCACAACUCUCUCCCAAUACCUCCUCCUCCCUUCUCCCCUUCAUCCAAUGCCCAGAUCUGAUGGUGAUCAGAUCUAAGAAGAGAAAAGAGAUAGAAGAAGAAAGAUUUUUCUUCUCUUCAUAGUGAUCUGAUUCAGAUCUCGUUGGAUCUGUGCGAAAGAGUACGCGCAGCGAUCUCCUUCUUCGAGAUCUAGAAGAAGAGAUCUAGAUCCAAGGAUGAGGAGCAAGAUCUGUAAGGUGCCAGCACAUCG